GGGCCAGACUCCUACGGGAGGCAGCAGUGAGGAAUAUUGGUCAAUGGCCGAGAGGCUGGACCAGCCAAGUCGCGUGAGGGAAGACGGCCCUACGGGUUGUAAACCUCUUUUGUCGGGGAGCAAAGCGAGUCACGUGUGACUCAUUGAGAGUACCCGAAGAAAAAGCAUCGGCUAACUCCGUGCCAGCAGCCGCGGUAAUACGGAGGAUGCGAGCGUUAUCCGGAUUUAUUGGGUUUAAAGGGUGCGUAGGCGGAAUAUCAAGUCAGCGGAAAAAUUGCGGGGCUCAACCCCGUCGAGCCGUUGAAACUGGCAGACUUGAGUUGGCGAGAAGUACGCGGAAUGCGCGGUGUAGCGGUGAAAUGCAUAGAUAUCGCGCAGAACUCCGAUUGCGAAGGCAGCGUACCGGCGCCACACUGACGCUGAGGCACGAAAGCGUGGGGAUCGAACAGGAUUAGAUACCCUUGUAU
rnacentral:rRNA from 1 species